rnacentral:rRNA from 1 species
CCUACGGGUGGCUGCAGUAGGGAAUAUUGCUCAAUGGGGGAAACCCUGAUGCAGCAACGCCGCGUGGGUGAUGAAGGUAUUCGGAUUGUAAACUCCUUUUGUUAGAGAAGAAAAUGACGGUAUCUAACGAAUAAGCAUCGGAUAACUUCUGGCCAGCAGCCGCGGUAAUACGGAGGGUGCAAGGGUUACUCGGAUUGACUGGGGGUAAAGGGCGCGUAGGCGGGAUAGCAAGUCAGAUGUGAAAGCCUAUGGCUUAACCAGAGAACUGCAUUUGAAACUGUGAGUCUAGAGUACGGGAGAGGUAAGUGGAAUUCUUGGUGUAGCGGUAAAAUCCGUAGAGAUAAAGAGGAAUACUCGUGGCGAAGGCGGCCUGCUAGAACGUAACUGACGCUGAGGCGCGAAAGCGUGGGGAGCAAACAGGAUUAGAUACCCGAGUAGUC